rnacentral:rRNA from 1 species
AUGAACGCUAGCUACAGGCUUAACACAUGCAAGUCGAGGGGCAUCAGGAAGAAAGCUUGCUUUCUUUGCUGGCGACCGGCGCACGGGUGAGUAACACGUAUCCAACCUGCCCUUUACUCGGGGAUAGCCUUUCGAAAGAAAGAUUAAUACCCGAUAGCAUAAUGAUUCCGCAUGGUUUCAUUAUUAAAGGAUUCCGGUAAAGGAUGGGGAUGCGUUCCAUUAGGUUGUUGGUGAGGUAACGGCUCACCAAGCCUUCGAUGGAUAGGGGUUCUGAGAGGAAGGUCCCCCACAUUGGAACUGAGACACGGUCCAAACUCCUACGGGAGGCAGCAGUGAGGAAUAUUGGUCAAUGGGCGCUAGCCUGAACCAGCCAAGUAGCGUGAAGGAUGAAGGCUCUAUGGGUCGUAAACUUCUUUUAUAUAAGAAUAAAGUGCAGUAUGUAUACUGUUUUGUAUGUAUUAUAUGAAUAAGGAUCGGCUAACUCCGUGCCAGCAGCCGCGGUAAUACGGAGGAUCCGAGCGUUAUCCGGAUUUAUUGGGUUUAAAGGGAGCGUAGGUGGACUGGUAAGUCAGUUGUGAAAGUUUGCGGCUCAACCGUAAAAUUGCAGUUGAUACUGUCAGUCUUGAGUACAGUAGAGGUGGGCGGAAUUCGUGGUGUAGCGGUGAAAUGCUUAGAUAUCACGAAGAACUCCGAUUGCGAAGGCAGCUCACUGGACUGCAACUGACACUGAUGCUCGAAAGUGUGGGUAUCAAACAGGAUUAGAUACCCUGGUAGUCCACACAGUAAACGAUGAAUACUCGCUGUUUGCGAUAUACAGUAAGCGGCCAAGCGAAAGCAUUAAGUAUUCCACCUGGGGAGUACGCCGGCAACGGUGAAACUCAAAGGAAUUGACGGGGGCCCGCACAAGCGGAGGAACAUGUGGUUUAAUUCGAUGAUACGCGAGGAACCUUACCCGGGCUUAAAUUGCAGUGGAAUGAUGUGGAAACAUGUCAGUGAGCAAUCACCGCUGUGAAGGUGCUGCAUGGUUGUCGUCAGCUCGUGCCGUGAGGUGUCGGCUUAAGUGCCUUAACGAGCGCAACCCUUAUCUUCAGUUACUAACAGGUCAUGCUGAGGACUCUGGAGAGACUGCCGUCGUAAGAUGUGAGGAAGGUGGGGAUGACGUCAAAUCAGCACGGCCCUUACGUCCGGGGCUACACACGUGUUACAAUGGGGGGUACAGAAGGCAGCUAGCGGGUGACCGUAUGCUAAUCCCAAAAUCCUCUCUCAGUUCGGAUCGAAGUCUGCAACCCGACUUCGUGAAGCUGGAUUCGCUAGUAAUCGCGCAUCAGCCACGGCGCGGUGAAUACGUUCCCGGGCCUUGUACACACCGCCCGUCAAGCCAUGGGAGCCGGGGGUACCUGAAGUACGUAACCGCAAGGAUCGUCCUAGGGUAAAACUGGUGACUGGGGCU